rnacentral:rRNA from 1 species
UACGGAGGGUGCAAGCGUUAUCCGGAUUCACUGGGUUUAAAGGGUGCGUAGGAGGGCAGGUAAGUCAGUGGUGAAAUCUCCAAGCUUAACUUGGAAACUGCCGUUGAUACUAUCUGUCUUGAAUAUUGUGGAGGUGAGCGGAAUAUGUCAUGUAGCGGUGAAAUGCUUAGAUAUGACAUAGAACGCCAAUUGCGAAGGCAGCUCACUACUCAAUCAUUGACUCUGAGGCACGAAAGCGUGGGGAUCAAACAGG